rnacentral:tRNA from 1 species
CGUUUUAUGGCCUAACUGGUCAGAGCAUCGUGGAUUAGAGGCGAAGAUGCGGGUUCGAGUCCCGCAAGAACGG